GCGAUGUCGAAAAAGAGGGCGCCGGU
rnacentral:sRNA from 1 species